rnacentral:snoRNA from 1 species
GAGUUAGCAAUGAUUAUAAAAAUAAUUCUUUAUUCCGACUUGCUUAAUUUAAUCAUAACAAACUUUUUAUUACAAUCAUAGAAUCUGAGUUGC